CCUACGGGAGGCAGCAGUGGGGGAUAUUGCACAAUGGGGGGAACCCUGAUGCAGCGACGCCGCGUGGGCGAUGGAGUGCUUCGGCAUGUAAAGCCCUAUCAGCAGGGAAGAAAAUGACGGUACCUGACUAAGAAGCCCCGGCUAAAUACGUGCCAGCAGCCGCGGUAAUACGUAUGGGGCAAGCGUUAUCCGGAUUUACUGGGUGUAAAGCGAGUGCAGGCGGUUCAAUAAGUCUGAUGUGAAAGCCUUCGGCUCAACCGGAGAAUUUCAUCAGAAACUGUU
rnacentral:rRNA from 1 species